UACGGGGGGGGCAAGCGUUGUUCGGAAUUACUGGGCGUAAAGAGCUCGUAGGUGGUUUGUCGCGUUGUUCGUGAAAACCGGGGGCUUAACCCUCGGCGUGCGGGCGAUACGGGCAGACUUGAGUACUGCAGGGGAGACUGGAAUUCCUGGUGUAGCGGUGGAAUGCGCAGAUAUCAGGAGGAACACCGGUGGCGAAGGCGGGUCUCUGGGCAGUAACUGACGCUGAGACGCGAAAGCCAGGGGAGCAAACGGG
rnacentral:rRNA from 1 species